rnacentral:lncRNA from 1 species
CCCUCCCCCUUUUUUACAAAAUACUCAAAAACUCAAAAAUAAAAUUUUGAAUCAUCACCAAAAAGUAUACAGAUAUUAAGAUUAAUAUAACUAAGAAGUGUUUAAAGUUUUAAGCCAUAAUCAAGAAUCGUUUUUGAGAUACGUUGCGACAUGUGUAAAAAACACACCCCUGUUUUAGUUACAAAGUGCCGUUACUCAAAAAGUUUUAAUCUUAUUUUCACCAAAAAGUAUACAGAUCAUUUGACCAUCAUAAGAAACAACUAUGUUAAGUUUCAUGAAAUUUGGAUAAGUCGUUCUCAAGUUACGGUGCGACAUGUUUACGCCGGACAGACGGACGGACGGACACCGGACAUUUGUAUA